rnacentral:rRNA from 1 species
GACGAAGGAUGCAAGCGUUAUCCGGAUUCAUUGGGUUUAAAGGGAGCGUAGGUGGCCUUAUAAGUUAGAGGUGAAAGCCCGGGGCUCAACUCCGGAAUUGCCUUUAAGACUGCAUCGCUAGAACGUCGGAGAGGUAAGUGGAAUUCCGAGUGUAGAGGUGAAAUUCGUAGAUAUUCGGAAGAACACCAGUGGCGAAGGCGGCUCACUGGCCCGAUACUGACGCUGAGGCACGAAAGCGUGGGGAGCAAACAGG